rnacentral:rRNA from 1 species
GACAGAGGGUGCAAACGUUGUUCGGAAUUACUGGGCGUAAAGCGAGUGUAGGCGGUUUGGUAAGUCGGAUGUGAAAGCCCCGGGCUCAACCCGGGAAGUGCACUCGAUACUACCAAGCUAGAGUAUCGGAGAGGUUGGUGGAAUUCUCGGUGUAGAGGUGAAAUUCGUAGAUAUCGGGAGGAACACCGGUGGCGAAGGCGGUUCUCUGGGCCUGACCUGACGCUGAGGAGCGAAAGCGUGGGGAGCGAACAGG